UUUCGUCUAUCGGCAUGUGCGGUCGAAUUACGUGAAAUGUUGAGCGGCCCCGGUAUUGCUGGUCUCCUGCUCACGGUUCUGCUUUUUGGCCUUUUGUGUCCGAAACUGGCCAAUUCGGAAAAUAUCUUGGCCGUAUUCUCGUACACCUUUGGCUCGUCCUACUUGCUGAUUACUCCGUUCUUAAGGAAUCUUGUCCAGCGGGGUCACCAGAUAACAUUGAUAUCGGCCGUUACGAUUAUGCCCCACAUAGAGGGUGUCCAUCACAUACGAGUGCCCAAAUUGGAUAUGCUGAUGAAAAUUCUCCUGGAAUUGGAAUUUGACACUGAAAUACCCAAAUGGACGGAGGCUCAAUUCCUGUCCGAGUACUUUUACAAUUGUUCAAAGUUCGUCCUUGAAGAUCCUGGGGUGCAGGAGCUGCUCCACAACGCCAGUGCCAAGUAUUCGCUGAUUAUUUUGGAGGCGUCACACAACGAUGCCCUGUACGGAUUUUCGCAGCACUUUAAUGCACCGCUGGUCGGGAUCGCCGCCUACGGAUCGUCCUGGAACAUUGACUUUCAGGUGGGGAACUCGGCGCCAAGUGUCUACGAACCGAUAUCGGCCUUGGGCUACACAGCUGGCUUUAGUCUGAUGGAGAAGUGGCACAACCUAAUCUUUAUUACCGAGGAGCGUUUGGUGGAGCGAUUCAUCUACCUGCCGCGCCAAAUAGAUCUAUACAAGCAACACUUCCCUGGUGCUACCACCAGUAUUCAUGACCUCCGUCGGAGAUUCUCACUGAUUCUGAUCAAUCAGCAUUUCACCAUGGGACGAGUUCGCAGCAAUGUGCCCAAUAUUGUGGAAGUGGCGGGUAUGCAUCUGGACGAAAAACCAUAUCCUUUGGAUGCGGAACUAAAAAAGAUUUUGAAUGAAGCCAAACAUGGAGUUAUCUAUUUUUCUAUGGGCCUGCAACUUCUGGAGACUUGGUUGCCCCCCGGAAUGCGAGCUACUAUGUCGGAGGCCUUUGCGCAGUUGAAACAACAAGUGAUUUGGAAGAGUGACCAUCCAGAGAUGGUCAACCAAUCAAGGAAUGUCUUUGCUAGAACAUGGUUUCCCCAACGGGCGAUCCUCAAUCAUCCUAAUGUUAAGCUAUUUAUCACCCAUGCUGGUCUUUUGGGCCUUAUUGAAUCCGUUCACUAUGCUGUCCCCCUACUUUGUAUACCUCUGUUCUACGAUCAGUUUCAAAACACCAAGCGAAUGGAGAAGUUGGGCGUGGCCAGGCGUCUGGAUUAUAAAAACCUUCUCCGGGACGAAAUUGUCCUGGCCAUUGAGGAUCUUGUAUACAAUGCUAGUUAUAAACGAAAUGCGAGGGAUUUGUCUCAACGUUUUCACGACCAACCAAUGUCUGCCAUGGAUACCGCGAUUUGGUGGACUGAAUAUAUCAUGCGGCACAAAGGAGCCGGACACAUGAGAAUCGCAGAGCAGGAAAUGUCAUUGAUGCAAUACUAUAACGUGGAUGUUGUUUCUGUUCUCUUCGGACGAAUCGGACUUAGUGCUAUUAUUGUUAUCUUCCUCGGCUGGAAACUAGUCUCAUUGGCAACAAGACACCUUGAGUACCGAUUCAAUGUGCACUUGGUAAGAUAAAAGUUAAUUAUUAUUGGCAACAGCAAAUCCACGACAUUGCCAAUCGGUCACCUUUUGUUAUAAAAAGUGUGUUAGGCAACGGUGUUUUGUGUCAUUUUAGCAUUGUACUCAGGUAAUUUAUAAACCCAAAUAGGUUUAAAAAAAAAUCAUUGUAAAAGCGCUCUGAUCGAAUGACUUUACUUAAUGAUUCACCUAUCAACAUUACAGUUUAUAACUUUGCAAAAGGUUAAUCUACAAUAUUUGAUGGUAUGUAUAUGCUGAUAUGAAAGAGUUUUAGUCGCGAGUAACGUAAAAUAGGUGUAUUAAUUGUAAAUGCUUAUUUCGCAUUGAUAGCGAGUUAUCUAAUCAGUCAGUUAAAUGACCGUAGCGGCGCCAAACAAAUUUUUCACCUUGAAUUUACAUUUAAAAGAUUAAAAUAUAGGUUCAAAUUGUUAAAUAAUUUUCGUGAUUAUUUAUUAGGAUUAAAUAAUUUAUAGAAUACCAGGAAAAACAAGAGUUUCCUCCUGUGGCAACUGCUAUAUAUAUUGUAAUUAGAAAACUUUUCCUCCUUCAGUCGUUAUCUAUCCAAAGCUUUUUUUAUUUUUUUCUUGCCCAUAAACAUAACCGCGCUCAUUACGCAUUUUACAUCAAUCAGCACGUGCCCAGCAUGUUUUCAACUCUUUUUCACAAAUAAAAAAAAAAUAAAUAAAAAGGGAAUGAAAAAGGAAGUACUGGAAGAAAAAGGGAUAUUAAAAUGCAGAGGACAGGCUGGUGAGAAAAGUGCGCACAAUUGCUUCCCCAAUUGCUGGGGAAAUAACCCCAGAAACAUGAACCCAACGAAGUCGAAUAGUCCACAGAAGUUGAAGCUCAUCAAAUUUAUUGGGAUGCCGAUGCUAGUAAUUGAAAACAAAAAUCUAUAAAAAGCGGAUUGCACCCACAAGAAUGUCUAUUUAUUUAUACCGAAAUGAAACCUAAAAGGAAAUAUAAAAUGUGUGCCAAACGUUGGCAUGUUAAUAAGUUGGGCGAAAAGGACCAAAACGAAA